CUUGAUGGAGCCGAGCCAGAGCGGCCGGUCCUCCGUGUGCUCCCGGCCGUACGUGGCCAGCAGGGCCUGGGCUUC
rnacentral:antisense_RNA from 1 species